rnacentral:rRNA from 2 species
UACGUAGGUGGCAAGCGUUGUCCGGAUUUAUUGGGCGUAAAGCGAGCGCAGGCGGUUUCUUAAGUCUGAUGUGAAAGCCCCCGGCUCAACCGGGGAGGGUCAUUGGAAACUGGGAGACUUGAGUGCAGAAGAGGAGAGUGGAAUUCCAUGUGUAGCGGUGAAAUGCGUAGAUAUAUGGAGGAACACCAGUGGCGAAGGCGGCUCUCUGGUCUGUAACUGACGCUGAGGCUCGAAAGCGUGGGGAGCAAACA